GACGAACGCUGGCGGCGUGCUUAACACAUGCAAGUCGAACGGAAAGGCCCUGCUUUUGUGGGGUGCUCGAGUGGCGAACGGGUGAGUAACACGUGAGUAACCUGCCCUUGACUUUGGGAUAACUUCAGGAAACUGGGGCUAAUCCCGGAUAGGAUCUCCUGCUGCAUGGUGGGGGUUGGAACUUUUCGGCGGUUGGGGAUGGACUCGCGGCUUAUGAGCUUGUUGGUGGGGUAGGGGUUUACCCAGGGUUUGAAGGGUCCCCGGCCUGGGAGGGUGACCGGGCACAUUGGGCCUGAGAGACGGCGCAGAGUGCAACAGUGGGCAGCGGGGGGGAGUAUGGUCCAACGGGAGCAAGCCUGAGGCAGCAACGCCGCGUGCGGGAAGACGGUUUGCGGGUAGAAAACCGCUUUAGGCUGUGACGAAGCGGGUGUGACGGUAAUGGAUAAAGAAGCACCGGCUAACUACGUG
rnacentral:rRNA from 1 species